rnacentral:pre_miRNA from 1 species
CAGUUACUCCCUCUAUCCGAAAAUACUUGUCAUCAAAAUUGAUAAAAGGGGAUGUAUCUAGACGUAUUUUAGUUCUAGAUACAUCUCUAUUUAUCCAUUUUGAAGACAAGUAUUUUCGGACGGAGGAAGUACUCU